AGAGGUUGCAGGAGACAGAUACCCAGAUGCUCUUGACAAAACAUCGUGGAAUUUUGCAACCACACCUCCAAGAGACUGUUGAGGUUUGAACUUAAAAUAUUUGCUGGAUGCUGCCCAUAUCAUCACUCGGGGUUGGGAACUGGGGAUGUCAUAUUUUACACAAACAAAGGCAGAUAAAUGUCAAAAUAUGUUUACAAGCUAUUGCUACAUGAUUUCAUACUGAACAAUUUCAUGAGUAAAACUUUGAUCAUUUUGAUGUACUAUAUAUAUGUAAAUGUAGUGUGCCCGAUUUGUGAAAUGAGAAUAUGUGUGAGCUUUGUUAAGGUGCAACUUGAUAAAUUUUUGCCGACACUCUUUCUUUGAAAUUGAAGAUUGCAAAUAUCCAAAUUUUUUAUGGAAACAAUUUGCCUGCAUUUGCUUCAUCCUAGCACAGAUACAUGUUGAUUCGCAGGCAAAUUAUGGUGUUUGUAGAUGAAACACUUGAUUAGUACUGAAGCAAAAUUAUAUUCAAGUUACAAUGCGAAAGGAAAUGGGAAAAUAACUGCCGUUUUUUUUUUCCAGUAAAGAGUUUGAAUCCAUUUUUGAAUGUUUUCAGACUUUUGAGUCCCAUGAAUGUGAUAUAAAAAUAUGCAAUAUUUGAAACUCGUUUUAUCUCCAGUAGUUUCUCUCCUAGAAAUUGUAAAAUUCAUUGGAAUUUGAAAGAAUCACCAAAUUAACAUCAUUUUAUUGGAAACGUGGUGGUUAAAUGAUAAAAGGGGGAUUCUCCAAAUAAGAGUUUAAUAAUACUUUUAUCAUUCAAGAGGAUAAAAAAAAAAAACUACCAUUUAAGUUUGACUGAUACUAUUAUUAGAAAUUAUAGAAUAUAUCAGAUAUACUACAUCAACUAUACAAUAAGAAAAUGAUGUUAUAAUUUAUGUGCAUUCAUUUUGAAGGGGUUUAUAGUUAUAUUAAAUCUAAUUACUUAUGUUAUGCAUAUAUUAAUUGGUUGUAUUGUCUCAGAUGUAUUCUAUAAUUUCUCAAUUAUUACGUCCCUUGACAUACACCCCUUGAAAGUCUUCAUGAAACCCAUUUUCAAUUGAAACUACAUAACUAGUUAAAGAAAAAAUUUAAUUGAUUAUAUUUUAAAUGAAAAUUCAAUUUGAAACUUAUUUAUUCUUUUAACAAACUUUUAAGCUCACACAAUCUCAUAUUCUAUACUUAUCUUUUAUUUUUUAUUUGAAAAUAUAAUUUUUUAUAUUAAAACUAUAAAUUCGCUUAAGAUUUUCUUUUCUUACCGAAAAUUAGUUUAAGAUAUAUCAUUUCGUUUUCUGUAUUUUAAUUUAAUAAUUUUUUUAUUACUAUGUAUAUGGUUAGUGGAGUUUCUAUAAUUAAAAAUUUUAUUCAAAAGGAAAGAAAAUGGAUUGGAGUUUUUUUUCAUUAGACAAAAAUGAAUUAACUCUAUACAGAUCCCCGCGCGGCGCCCAGGGGAUGUAUUUAAAAAAAUUCAAGGGUUUCGUAAGAUUUGAGCUCCCACUGUAUAAUAACUUCAAGCCUUUUUCAGUAAGGGCCUCAAAAUUACCUACAAGACUUGAGCUGGGCUUGCAUUCUUAAACAAGGCCGAGUUCAUCGGAUUUUAGAAAAUGUAGAAUCCCAAAACCCACCUUUUGUUUUUUUGACUUUUUACCCUUAUACAUUUACCACCUUACAUUCUCUUAUUAACCUCACUUUUUAAUUAAACCCAUUUAUUUUUUAAAUUAUCUUGUUUAAAAAAUUAAAAAUAGUUAAAUUAAAUAAUUUUAUUUUUUAUUUUCUCUUUCAUAUGCUUUUUCUGCCAAGCAUCAUCUUCACCCAGUACCUAACUUCAUCACUACCAUGUCUAUCAUUACCACCGCACAUCUUCAUCACCAUCAAUCUACAACCACCUACAACACAUUAUAAUUUGUUAUUGAAUCUUAUUAAAUUUUGUAGAUAAUUGGUGGUUUCUAAUGCUGUCGAUCAUAUGGAUUUAUUUAAUACUUCUUUUUUUUUUUUGUGAUAAUCCAACAUUUUGACAAUUGCAAUGUUGAAUUUGUUUGGGGACUACCAUUUGAUGGAAAUUGUAAAUCAAUUCAAGAAAGUGAGAGAGAUAUGAAAGAGGAAAAGUCGCAAGCUUAAGAAAGUAAUAAUAAUAAUAAUAAUAAUAAUAAUAAUAAUAAAUAAAUAAAUAACUAGAGUUGAUCAAGAAAUACAAAUUGGUGAGAUAAAGUGAAAUAAUCAACUAUCAAUGUUCACUUUUAAAAUUUUAAUUACCUUUUACUUUUUUAGUGUUUUAGAACUCGUUAAAUUUUUUAAUUCUAUACAAGUGAAAAAUAGCCAAUAGAAAUGUAUUCUGCUAAGUUGCUUGUUAAUAUUACUGGGAGUUAGCUUUAGUACAAUUAGAUGACAUUGUUUGUUAGCAUUGACAUUAUGAAAUUCAAUGGGCUAGCUAGGUAGAAAGAUGACAUAGGGUAGGUUUAUAAUCGUUGAGUUUCCACAUAAUUUUAAAUGUAUAGUUUUUAAAGGUUUUAGUAAAUAUUUACUAUUUAAAUAAAUAAUAUUCACCGAACACUUACUCAUUUAUAUUUAAUAAUAAGUAAUUUUGUUCUACAAAUACUUUAGAGACAUUAUGUCUAUUUUUAUUGGUCUAUUUGUCUUUAACAUUUUGGGUCCUAAAAUAAUUAUCAAUUUUUAAGAAGAAUUAAAAGCAAAGGGAUGUUCACGUACCUGCUUACAUGAUGAAUGUAGUUUACCGGAAGGGUGCUUACAUAUUUGCUUACCUGAUUAAUGUAGUAUAUGAUUCUUUAUGCAUUCGACUUACAAUUUUCGUCACUUAUUUAUAUGUUUGAUUUGAUGUCCGAACUUGAAAGUGACAAAAUUUAUGAUUUAGAAGUUAAAUUAAUUUUAUUUUUAUACUUGUAUAAUAAAAAAAAUCUAUAAUACAAUAUAUUAACACCAAACAAGACCUAAACUUCCAGCUCUCGUUUUUUUUUUUUUUUUUAAUUGAAUAAUGUAUAUGGUUCAGCUUUAGAGUUUUAGACAUUUUAAAGACGUUUAUUUUUCAACUUAACACUUAAAAAUUGGUGAUUAUGUUUGAAUUUAAUUUUUUUAUUUUGGCCAUGGUUGCUGUGUAUGUGUGUGUAUGUAUACAAAUACAUCACGACUUGCUCCCCGCACAGAUCACGCUUUAGAUUUUUAAUUAUAUAUUUUUAUUAUAUGCUAAGUUAUUUUGCCCAAUACUCCACGGCAACAAAUUAAAAGCUUUAUCAAUGUCCUGAUGAUUUGAAUUUUCAUAAUUACAAGAACAAAUCAUUUCAAUCGUAUUGGUAUUAAAACUUCAAUUUGAUAUCAUACAUCAGUACAGAUCACACAUGCCCGUUUUAUUGUGUAAAUAAAAAAACAACAAUAGCGAAAAUUUUAUUUUGAUAAAAAAAAAAUUAGGUUAUAAAAUUUUGAUAAAAAGUAUAAAAACAUCAUAAUAUCUUGACCCAAAAAAAAAAACAAAAAACAACUGAUUGAUAACUACCCUGAUAUUUUAAUCAAAAUUUAUAACUCAAUUUUUUUGUCAAUGCAGCAUUAUUUAAUAAACGGACUCGAUUGACCGUUAUGUUUGUUUUUCCUUUAGUUCUUUUCAACAUUUUUUUUAUUCUAAAAAUAAAUAAUUACAAGACGCGAGGGCUAAGGCCACCUUCAUUUUGGUUCCUUAUAAAUGUCAUGAGUCCCACUCCCAUGCCUCCAUAUCUCUGCAUCUUAAGAGGCCGGGACAAGUCUUAAGCCAGUACCAAGAAGAAGAAGGAGAAGAAGAAGUUUGAAGAAAAUGGCUGAAGAACAAAGAAUCGAGAUUCCAAGGGUGAAACUUGGUGGGCAAGGAUUUGAGGUAAAGUUCAUUUGGUAACUCUUUUCUUUUACAGCAUUAGGAAAAAUAUAAACAAUCACAGAGAGACAUUACUGUUUCUCAUAUAAUAUUUUUUGAUGGCUUAUAUGUGUCUUAAAGGUGUCAAAGUUGGGAUUUGGUUGCAUGGGCCUCACUGGAAUUUACAAUGAUCCUGUCCCUGUUGAAGUUGGCAUAUCAAUAAUCAAGCACGCAUUUGAUCAAGGAAUCACAUUCUUUGACACAGCAGACGUCUAUGGACCCAAUAAUGCUAAUGAACUUCUUGUUGGAAAGGUAAAUGAUUAAUUGAUAAAACUGAUGGGUGAAAACUCUUGGCAUGCAAGAUUACUUUGUUUGAGUAAUUAAUUGAUGAAUCUUUUCAGGCUCUCAAGCAGCUUCCAAGAGAAAAAGUGCAGCUAGCCACAAAAUUUGGUAUUGUCAAAUUUGACAUGAGUGAUGUUGUGGUAAAGGGUACCCCUGAGUAUGUCCGCGCCUGCUGUGAGGCUAGCCUGAAGCGUCUUGAUGUUGAAUACAUUGAUCUCUAUUAUCAGCAUCGCGUUGACACAACGAUACCUAUAGAGGAUACUGUAAGUAAUCUGCUGCCUUCAUUUCUGAUUUCCUUGUCAGUAGUCACCAGUUGCCGCAUCACUAGUUAUAGUGGUACAUUUUGCUUCUUAUCAGAUGGGAGAACUUAAGAAGUUGGUGGAAGAAGGGAAAAUAAAGUAUAUCGGGUUAUCUGAAGCAAGCCCUGAUACUAUAAGAAGGGCACAUGCCGUUCAUCCUGUUACUGCCUUACAAAUGGAAUGGUCUCUCUGGACUCGCGAAAUUGAGGAUGAAAUAGUCCCACUUUGCAGGUUCUUUACAAUGAAACUGAAAUUGAUAUGUUGUCAUUCUCAUUUUUAUCUAUUCAACUACAGUAGAUUUUCUUUGGUAAAUGACUCUCAUGCCACCUCUUCAGCUAACAUAUUCCUGCAAGUUUGAUUUCUGUAAAUGAGAGGCAAUUGUCAAUUUUGAAUAUUAUGUUACAGGGAACUUGGAAUUGGGAUAGUUCCAUAUAGUCCACUUGGCAGUGGAUUUUUUGGUGGCAAGGCUAGUGUUGAAAGUUUGCCUGCGAACAGUCUUCUGGUAUGUUUUAGUCUACAAUGUUUCAUUUGUUAUUCUGAUGUUGUUACUUUUGAGAGUAAUUUUGAAUUGAUUAACUGAUGGUCAAUUUUUCCUUAAGACAUGGCAUCCUAGGUUCUCAGGAGAGAACAUUGACAAAAACAAGAUCUUAUAUUUGCGUCUGCAAAAGUUAGCCGAAAAGCAUGAAUGCAACCCUGCACAACUUGCACUUGCUUGGAUUCUUCAUCAAGGAAAUGAUGUAGCACCAAUUCCUGGUGAGUUAAUCUCCUUAUUUUCUUAUCAGCCGGUGCAAUCAUGAUAGACAUCUCUCCUAUAUGAGUUGAUAAGCCUUGUGUGUGCUUUAAUUUUUUUUUUUUUUUUCUUUUUACAGGUACAACAAAGAUUAAAAAUCUAGACGACAAUAUUGGUUCUUUGAGAGUGAAACUUACAAAUGAAGAUUUAGAUGAGAUUUCUUCUGUGAUUCCCAUCAAUGAGGUAGCAGGGGAUGGGGUAAUUGGCGGUCUCCUCCGUUGCUCCUGGAAGUUCGCGAACACACCAGCAAAAGAUAGUCCUCCACUUCCGGCAAUGAGGUAGCAGGGGACAGAAUAACGGAUAAGUUUCCUUCGCUGCUCUUGGAAGUUCGUGAACAUACCAUUGCAAGAUAGUCCCUCCAGCUACUAAAAGCAUCUGAAACUUGAAGAUUUUCCAUUGAAGAGAUUUUUUUUUGUUGGUUCAAUUUAUAAUGAGAGAUUGUGUCACUAUGGGAAAAACUACUAUAGUUUGUUUCAAUAAAUGAUGGGGUAUGCAGGGUAGCUUUUAUGUAUUUGAUUUCAGCUUGCUUUGCUGCUAAAGAAAUACUAUGUAUUAAUGAAUGAUAUGUAUCAAACUCAAGGCUAUUUCCAGCAAGUAAUCUCCCAAAGGAACCCAACAAUAGAUGGAUUUGUAGCUAUUUGCCUCCUUUUGGUAGCAAUUUGACAUCAGUGCAAUAACAAUUCAAAUAUUGUUCAGAAAAAUUUAAACCCUUGAUUUAUUCAUUAUGUAUCAUGAUGAGGCAAUACAACAACAAAAAGAUGCUGUAACUUAUCAGAAUAUUAUUCAGUUUGUUAAAACAUAAGAUAUUUAAACUCAAGUUCAACUGUUUUGUAUAGAGGUAUGGUGGUUCGGAUUGCUCUAUUGUGAAUAUAGUAUCAUCUCGCGAUCAAAGAAGAUACAAAGACAGGGCAUUUCAUCUUUUACAAGCUCAAGAGUAAUAUCAGGAGGCUAAAUUCACCCCCCAAUGUGAUAAAUAUGUAAUCUCAUUGAUAGAGAACAUUUUAGGUGGGAUCGACGUACUUCGUUUUCAUACGUACUCUUGUAAAAUUUUAACAAAUAGAUUUAUCUGAAUUGAUCAAACAUGAUAGAAAGAGAGAAUAAAAACUAAAAUGUGUCAUGUGACAUAAUUUUAAUUAGGGGUUCGGCUACGUUGGAUCAGCUCCAACGUAGCGCCAAUUUUAAUCAGGGUUUCGGCUAUGCGAUCAUAUAAAUCGGAUCUGACAAUCACGAUUACAUGGACUCAAAAUACAAGAUAUGCACAGGAUUAUGGGGUCUUCUUCUCCUUCGCUCUUCAUCGGUUGUUUGACCAAAUGCAAUAAACGAAUCAAAGAAAGCAGGACAUGCAAUGAACCCUAUAUGCAAAAGGGGAGUGGGGGUCUGAAUGCCUCUUGAAUUGAAUCGGCCAAGUGUUGUUUGCAUGCGCUCUACAAACUGCUUUGCUGUCAUCUGAAGCUGAAAGAAUUAUCCCUAGCUCCGUCGGUUUUUUCUGCAACAAAACGACAAUCCCUGCCUUCACUCAUCUUAAUUCAUCCCCUGGUUUUGUUCCUCCUUUUUUAAUCAAUAAUUAAUUCCUGCUCCCUGUUUCCCCUCUCUCUGUAGACUCUACCCACCAAAACCAUUUGCUAUCUUUCCAAUUUUCUUCCGUAUAUAUACACACAUUCAUAGAACAUUUUAUAUUACAACACUACGUAUAUUACUGAGUUACUUUCAAUAGAAAGAUAAAAAAGUGGUAUACAUGUAUACGAUGGAGACGGUGCAUGGACUGUAGGGGAAGCUGGGGCGGCAAUGCUAUGCUGUAUUUUGCUUGGGUGUGAUUCUUGUUGUGUCGGUGACAAUCGCUCAUUAUGUUGAACCAAAGGAUAAUUCUGCAUCAGCUACUGGUUAAAGCAGAGCCAAGGCCACCCGUCGUGGUCUUCGACCUUUACACAGUCCUCUUCCAGUGUCUCCGAAUUUCUACUGAUCAUCACUCCCCACCAGCCAACUAGCUGCUCUAUGCUACCUUCUAGAAUUCUAGAGACUUUAAUUAACUAAUUAAAUUCUAGACUUGUUUAUGGGUUUAAUCAAUUUGCUCCCCCAGUUUCUAUGUAAAAAUUUUGCUUAAUUUAAUUAAUUGUGUUGGUGCGAGAUUCGGUGUCUGCUCGUUCACGACCAGGAUCUCUCCUCAAUGCUCAAGUUUACAGUUGACUAUAGGUAACUUCACGCUGCCCCUUUGUAGACGAGUAGAACUAUGACUCUUACUGCUUCUCUCCGGCAGACUCCUGCGCACACAAAAACUGAUCAGAGCACGUUGAGGGUUUUCCCGGUGUAAACCCUCCGACGCUCAAGUCAGAAAUCUGGGCUUACUUUUGAAAAAACUCCAUCAAUAAUUUCUUGGCUUUGUAAUGAUUCCUAAAGCAAUGAAAUCCCUAUGAAUUUUCCUGAGGUUCUCACUAGAAUGCCCCUCGGAAUUUCUUUUUGUCUCUUUUUUAGUUUUUUUUGUUCAACCCUUUUACCUUUUUUUAUUGCCCUUUUCAUAGCCUCCCUGAGAAUUCGACCCUCUUUGACUCAUGUUUGCCACUUUGCCAGAAUCCUCGGAAGUAGAUGGCUGAACGUGGUGGUCGUAGUUGAGUGGACUUCGUGCCUGGAUUCUAGAAUAAUAGUGCAUGUCCUGUUUAACUGUCGUGUACUAGGUAUGCUGAUUUAGCCCCUAACGGGAAAUGUUCUCGACGCCUAGCAAGGAACCUGCUCGUAUUAUGGUUCCAGUAGAUGGUCUUCUCAUAGACGAGGAGAAGACUCCUGCUCUCGGACGUCACAUUGCUCCUCGCUUACGAGAAGGUCAACUCCUCUCCUGGGUAUGGCAGAUCACGCUAUAAUAUCCCCCCAAACACCGGUCCCCCAAUUUUUGGUAUUGGUAAUGCAAUGGAUCAAUACUAGAAACUUAAUAAUCAUGGUUUGCUCAUAGUAUAUUUCGACCUCUUGAUAUUAGGUCCAUUAUGGCUACCAUUUUGGCAAGGAUAUCUGCUCAGUAGUUCUCGCUCCUUGGGAUUUGCACUACGUCCACUGAUUCGAACUUCCCAAUCAACUGUCUGACCUUCUUUAGUUACUGUUCCAUCUUCUCAUUUAUGGGUUGAAAUCUUUCACUUACAUGGCUCGCGACCAAUUGGGAAUAGGUCCGGAUUUUCACCCUAUUUUCUUUCACUGCCUUAACUAACUCUAACCCUGCAAUUAGAGCUUCAUAUUCGGCCUGGUUGUUUGUGGCCGUAAACUCUAACUUGACAACGUAAGAGAUCUCUUCCCCUUCUGGGCUUUCCAAAACAAUCCCCGCUCCGGCACCCUACUCACCUGAGGAUCCAUCCAUCGACGCUUGCCAAACUGCCUCCGUCGUUGCCUGCAGCAGCACUUGUGUGGUCGAAGUCUACUUCAGGCUCUAUGAACUCUGCCACGAAGUCUGCCAUCGCUUGGGCUUUAAUUGCUGCUCGGGGUUUGUAGCUUAUAUCGAACUUGCUUAGCUCUAUUGCCCACUUCACUAGCCGACCGAAAGCAUUCGAUUUGUGUAGGGUCUACCACAAUGGUUGGUCUGCUACUACCGCAACUGAGAAUGCUUGGAAGUACGGUCUCAACUUUCGAGCAGCCACUACAAGGGCGAGUGCCCAUUUUUCCAACGUCGGGUACUUGGUCUCGGCAUCGAGCAGAGCUUUGCUGGUGUAAUAUAUUGGGUACUGGACCCCUUCUUCUUCUCUCACCAGAAUUGAGCUUGUAUUGUGAUUGGAUACACAGGACGUCCCCCUCUCGUGGUGUGGACAAUAAGAGUGUUUGUUGUAGGUAUUGUUUCAGUUUCAAGAAUGCCUCUUUGUAUUCGGGGGUCCAUUCUAUUUUCCUCCCCAUCCUCAUCACUUGAAAAAAGGCGUGACAUUUGUCUGUGGCCUUGGAUAUAAAUCGACUCAACGCCGCCAACUUUCCCGUGAAGCUUUAUAUCUCCUUCAAAUUACAAGAAGAUCUCAUUCCCACAAUUGCUUGGAUCUUCUUAGGAUUCGCCUCAAUCUCCCGAUGGCUUACCAUGAACCCAAGGAAUUUUCCCGAUCCAACUCCAAAAACACACUUUUUUCGGGUUGAGCUUCAUCUUAUAUUUUCUCAAAAGCCCAAAUGUCUCCUCAAGGUGCUUGACGUGUUCAUCCGGGCUUUUUGAUUUGGCUAUUAUGUCGUCCACAUAAACCUCCAUCGUUCACCCAAUCAAUGGCUUAAAGAUUUUGUUCACCAACCUCUGGUAUGUAGCACCUGUAUUUUUAAGGCCGAAUGACAUUACCCUGUAACAAAACAAACUCUGGUUAGUAAUAAACGUCGUGCUCUCCUCUUCAUACUCGUACAUUAGGAUUUGGUUGUAUCCAGAGAAUGCGUCUAUGAAGCUGAGCAGAUUAUGCCAUGCUGUUGAGUCAACCAGUUGGUCGAUCUUCGAUAAGGGAAAGCUUUUUUUCAGGUAUGCCUUGUUGAGGUCGAUGAAGUCAACACACAUUCUCCAUUUACCAUUGGCCUUCCUUACAAGAACGACAUUCAAUAUCCAUUCGGGGUAGUUCACUUCCUGAAAGAACCCUGCCUGCAAGAGCUUCUCCACCUCGCUAUUUAUGGUUUCGUAUCUCUCCUGGUUGAAAUACCUUCUCUUUUGCCUCACAAAUCUGACACCCUUCUUUAUCUCCAACCUGUGGCAAGCCACCUCGGGGUCGAUCCCCGGCAUGUCAUCAUGCGUCCAGGCAAACAUAUAUGCGUGAGAUCGCAUGCAGUGUAUCAACUCUUGCUUCAACUCCCCCUCUAUCUUCGACCCAAUCCUAAGUGUUUUCCCCAUACCGUCCUUAUUCAAGUUGACAGUCUCCAGCUCCUUAACCGUCUCAUGUCUGCCCCUCAUAAAUUUUGCUUAGUCAUGAAGCGAGGUAAUUUACAUCGCCUCUUUCGUUGCUGUAGUGUAACAGCUUCGAGUAAUUCUCUGAUUUUCUUGUACCACGCCAACCACCCAAUUUACUCGGUACUUGAGAGCCAAGUUAGAUAGCACCGCCUUACUCAUCCUCAAGAAAAGGCGGCCUAAAAUCAUCUAGUAGGGGCUCUCUUCAUCGACCACAAUAAAAUCUAGGAUCAUUGUCUUUUCUAAUGGAGCAGAACCUAUAGUAAUGGGUAGCUCGACCACUCCAAGUGGGGCUAGCCUUCCUCCCCUGAACCCCUUUAAUGAUGUGUUGAUGUGCUCUAUCCUCAAAUCUGCUAUUCCCAUUUCCUCCUAAGUUGACUUGAACAGGACAUCGACCGAGCUCUCAAUAUAUACUAGGAUUCAAUCAAACUUCUUGCUGGCGACGAUGGCUUCAAUGACAAGUGCAUCCUCGUGUGGGUAUAGCACUCAUUCUUCGUCCUCAUCCGUCCACAUGAUCAGCACAUGCUUGGUCCUUGUUCGUGUUGUUGUCGGAGUGUUAAAUAAUACUUUUUUGCUAGUCACGGCAUACCUAGCAUAGUUCUUUCUAGAUCUGUUGGAAUCCCCAGCCAACGUUGGGCCCCCAACGAUAACUCUGAUGAUGGGCUGCUUGUGACCUGCAUUUCUAGUGCCCUGCUCUGCUCCACAUGAUGAGCCUGCAAUCGAGAUAGCUCUAUCUAUGAACUCGUCCAGGUAACAAUUCCUUACUAAAUCUUCCACCUGAUUUUUUAGAUCACUGCAUUAGGACAUAGUAUGACCAUGAGUGCCAUGGAAUUCGCAAAACCGGCCCUUAUCUCAUCUGCUAGGUAGUUUUGCUAUUGGGGUAGGAGGAUACAGCAAACCAUGAUCCUUUAUUGCAUUGUACACCUCGUCCAGAGGCGUCUUCAAGGAAAUGUACCGCCUAUAGCUCUGACUCUGAUCGAUCACGUGCAUUGCCUUUUCCCUGUGGGCGUUGUUUUAAGCGGGAAGGGGCAUUGGUGCAUUUGGUCUGCUAGCUCUCAUACUCUGUAGGUGGUGGGUCAUCGUAGUAUGAUGAUGAAGGUGACUAUACAUCUAGUCAAGCCUUCCCCAAGAAUCUCUAGCUAGUGAACGAGAAAGCUGCAUCCUGCUACGUUGAUAUUGGAGUGGCCUCUGGUGAGGUUGGUAAGAGACGACCCGACUUCCCGCACUGCCACCCGGGGCAUGGUGGUCCUUCCAUUUAAUUGGCCCGCUUUCUGCUAUGACUUUCUUUUCCUUUCUCCUCAACCCCUCCAGCUGGUCCGUCUUAAUCCUCGUCGUUUUUUCCUCCUCGAUUUCUAUGUCCCUCUUGGCUUGCUCAUAGGCCACGAAAUAUGACUGAACUGCUGGACUCCUUAAGUUGUACCACAGACUCUCUAUCUUUACUCCUUCCUUUAGCCCCCUGAGGAUGGUUGAAGGCUCUAAGAUCGAGGAUAGCACGAUGGUAUCUUUUGAUAAAGUCCCGAAGAGUCUCAUUUUCUCCUUGCUUCAUACUCGUCAGCUCCAUCAUAUCAUCUUCUGGUGUCAUUGUCCCCCGAAAUUGCUCUGCAAAUUCCUGGCACAUCUGCUCGAAUGUUCUGAUGUUUUCCGGAGGAAACCUUCGAUACCACUCACCCUGCAUCUCUGGGCUUGAGAUAAUCUCUACACUCCGGUUAUGUCAUUGAAACGCUUUAUGUGCACCAAUGGGUCGGCUCGACUAGGAUCACGUGCCGUUACCUGGUCUUGCUCUUGCUCGACAUCACGCAUGUGUUGUCGAAGUUCCAUCUCCUCAGCGUUCGCAACCCUGUUAUUAUUGCCUGUGUUCUGCCUACCCGGGGGUUGAUUCCCUCUUUCAUGACUUUCCGUAGAGAUUGGUCACUGAGUCCACCACCAGGCCUCCCGGUAGUUAAACCUCUCAUCAUAGUGGUCCUUUCACCGUUGUUCCUUCUAUUAACAUGCCCCGGUGUAACUCUGUCACUUCUCAUCAUUUCUUCGUGAGUUUCUCUUUGUUCUUUCUCAACGCGUGCAAGAUGGUUGUCAGAGUUUCCAUCUGUUUUUCCAUCCGCUCAUGCAUUGCUCUUUCUCGCGCCUCGUUAGUUAUUUCUCUUAAUAUUACGGAUUCGUUAAGCCUCAUAUCCCCUCCUUGGACAUUACUCGUACCUACGUCCAUAGUCACCCCGCUUUUUUUCCCUUCCUUCUCUAUGUUAACGCUCUCUGUUAACAAAAGCUUUUUGUUCAGCUCCCCAUAGACGACGGCAAAAUGUUGAUGCGAGAUUCGAUGUAUGCUCGGUCACGACCAGAAUCUCUCCUUAAUGCUCAAGUUUGCAAUUGACUAUAGGUAACUCCACGUUGCCUUUUUCUAAACGAGUAGAACUAUGACGCUUACUGCUUCUCUCGGCAGACUCCUGCACAUACAAAAACUGGUCAAAGCACGCCGAGGGUUUUCCCGGGGUAAACCCUCCGGCGCUGAAGUCCAGAAUCUGGGCUUACUUUUGGAAAAACCCUGCCAAUCAUUUCUUGGCUUUGUAAUGAUUUCUAAAGCAAUGAAAUCCCUGUAAAUUUUCCUGAGGUUCUCACUAGAAUGCCCCAUGGAAUUUUUUUUUUGUCUCUUUUUUAGUGUUUUUUGUCCAACCCUUUUACCUUCUUUAAUUGCCCUUUUUAUAACCUCCCUGAGAAUUCGGCCCUCAUUGACUCACGUUCGCCACUUUGCCGAAUCAUCGUAAGUGGAUGCUUGAACGUGGUGGUCGUAGCUGAUUGGGCUUCGUGCCUGAAUUCUAGGAUAAUAGCGCAUGUCCUAUUUAACUGCUGUGGACUAGGUCUGCUGAUUUAGCCCCCAGCGGGAAAUGUUCUCGACGCUUAGCAAGGAACUUGCUCGUAUUCUAGUCCUAGCAAAUGGUCUCCUCAAGGACGAGGAGAUGACUCCUGCUCUCGGAUGUCACAUUGCUCUUCACUUAUGAGAAGGUCAACUCCUCGCUUGGGUAUGGCAGAUCACGCUAUAAUAUCCCCCCAAACAAAUUGUUAAUUAACAAAUAACAUAAACGCUAAUUUUCGCGCAAGUUUCAACAUUACUUACUUGGUUGCCUUCUGUUCUCGUGUUUGCGUCUCUGUCUUCCAUUACGAGCACUAAAAAAGGUAUAAUCAACGGUUUGCGAGAUAGUUGCGACUGCAGUAGGUGCCAGCGUCGAUCAUCAGCAUGGCGAUGCAUAGUAGAAUUAGGCGAGGAGAGAUAGAGAGAUAUAAUCAACGAUUGCUGAUCAAAUUUGAAACUUUCCAGCGAACCGACGGUGAUGAUGAGAUUGAUUCCGAUUAUAAUGAAGAAACUGGUGAAGAGCGAAGGAGAAGAAGACCCCAUAAUCCUAUGCAUAUCUUGUAUUUUGAGUUCAUGUAAUCGUGACCGUCACAUCGAAUUUAUAUGACCGUAUGGCUGGUAUUAGUUGGAGGUGAUCCAAUGUAGUUGAACACUUUUAUUAGACGAUUACAUCGUGUGUUGUGACUGUAAAUUUCUCCCACACCUAACAUUUUGCAAAGUACAGGGAUUAUUUUGUCAAAUCUUAAAAUCGUUAGCACUUGUUUUGAAUUACACUAAAUUGACCAAUCAUGAUAGUAAAAGAAAAAAAAAUGAAAAUUCGUUUGCACACAACAACACAACAGAGGCAAAGCUUAUGUUACAAAUAUUGUAACAAACAACUAAUAGAUAUGGAUCAUUAAUUUUUAUAUUUCUUAAAUCCAAUGGAUGAAAGUAAUUUUAACCAAAAACGAGAUACGGGUGCAAUAGUAAUUUAAAGAAAACUUUAUUUUUAAUCACAUAUUUACUUAUUUUUUCAAAUAAGUCCUCAUUAAUUUUGUAUAAUUAUAUAGUUUUCUAUAUUUAUUUUUAAAUUUUUUAAAAAGUUUUUACUAUAUUUUUAUAAGAAUUUAAAUGAUUAUCAUGUUCAUAAAUAUCCACAAAUUCUGAAUAUAUAUUUGCACCUGUAUUUAUAAAUUCUUGUCUCUCUUAAGAUAUAAACUAGAUUUUUUCUACACACACACACACACACCAUAAAUGCUUUCACAUAGAUUUUGUAAUAUGAAUCUAGCAUCCUAAAUUAUAAGAGAUAUUAUAUAUCAUGAAUAUCUUAUGAAUUUAAUGAAUUAUUAGAAAAAUGAUACAAUGAAUAAAUUACCAAAAUUUCUAAUAAUUUCACAAAACAUAAAAACCAAUAAGCUACCACAUUCUAGCUAUGGGCGAAAAGGAUUUUCAGGUGGAAGAUUUCAACUUUUCGAUUGGAUCAAUGAUUCAAACAUGUGAGCUAAUAAUCAAUUAAAUUGAACUUCGUUGUAUUUAUUAAAUAAAUUAAGAAACCCAAAUUUAUCUAUAAAUUAUAUAGAAAGUGCAAACAAAAUGUAAGAGAUUAAUAAUUUCAAUGACGAAAAUAUAAAACAAAUUAAAAAUUCAGGAGAUCAAAUGAGCAAAGAAUUUUAUAAGGUUAAACAAUUAAUGAAAUAAUUCAAUAUUGAAGAUCAAGAUAAAUUAAAGUAAGAGAUCAUUAAUAUAACGAAUAAAAACUCAAUAGAUGUAAGAUUAAAUAAGUUAGAGAUUCAAUUGGAUAAUAUAGAAAAAAAAAAUUGUUGAGAAACUGUACUAAAUCUACUGUAAAUAUAAAUAGAAAAUUUUAAGAAAAUUGAAGUUCGAAGAUACAAUUACGACAAAAAGGGUAAUUAUAUUGAUCUCCAAACAACCAUCAAUGCAAUUUAAAUGAAAGAUGUGAUUGUAUACAGGAGAAAUUCAACAAGUUUCAUCAUCUGUAAAAGUUUCCAAGCAAAUAGCACAGUCACUAGAACUUGAUGAUGAUGUAGUUUUUAACCUUUUGUAAUUUACAAGUUGCUUCAUUUUAUUCAAGGUUUGCUCUCUUUGCCUUUGCCUUUCUUUUGAGAUUUAUAAAAAUCUAUUUAAUAUCUCUAAUAGUUUAUUUAAUAUCUCUAAUAGUCAUAAGUUGGUUUGAUGAGACCAAAUGUGAUCAAAAUCAAAUCUUCUUUGCCAGAUAAAAAACCAACCAAAAACGUGAUAAAAGAAGAUGAAGAUAUACAAACCUAUGAGGCAAAUGUGGAUAUAAUUUUGGGAACUGUGUGAGAAAUAAUAAAGACUUGAGGGGGCAUAGGUUUUGCCAUUGAUGUUGACGAAAGGGUGGCUAAUAAUAACUAAUAUCCCUCCCGGGAAAUUUCAAAGACUUUUACAGGCAUCUUGGGGUUUAAAACAAAAUUUUAAAACUCAUUGACUUUUUUAUAAUUAUAAACUUUACGAAGGAUUUAAAAUCUUUUAGCUGUAACGCACAGCUAAUGUAACGGAAGUUUUGCCCCCAUCAGAACAAGUUUCAGGUUUUGAAAUUUCCCACCAUCCGAUUCUGUAACAAACAUCUCCCGUCAUUCCACCAUCCGAUUUUCUAUUGUUUAGUUUCUCACUCCACAUCCAACCACAUCCAACCACAUCCAACGGCUGAUGCUGCAGUCUGUAGCUUACAGAUUCUGUAAGCUAGUCAAGUCCCAGUUUCAGCACUUAAAAAAAAAAAGUACCUGUCUUCACAUCCUUGGAGUUGGAGCCAAACCAGAUUCCUUUCCUUUUUGUCCCAUCCAGCUCAAGCUCAAGUCAACCAACUAAUUAUUGAAAGAAUACCAGGACAAACCAAAACCACAGCAUCAAAUAUGGCAGAAGGGAUGAAACUCCAAGUUCCGAGAGUGAAACUCGGAACCCAAGGCCUUGAGGUAACUACCCAUUUGUAAUUUUCUUUUUUUUUUGUUCUUUUAAUCCUGAUCGUUUGAUUUCUCUGAUUGUGUUUUUUUGCUUUUACAGGUAUCAAAGCUGGGAUUUGGAUGCAUGAGCCUGAGUGGAGGUUACAAUUCUCCAGUCUCUGAAGAGGAUGGCAUCUCUAUAAUAAAGCAUGCUUUCAAUAAAGGAAUCACUUUCUUUGAUACUGCUGAUAAAUAUGGACCAUAUACUAAUGAAAUUCUUCUUGGAAAGGUUAGGAUCUUGACUCUUGACACUUGUGUAAGAAUUCUCUUAACUAAACACUUGUUAUGUUUGAUUAAUUUAGUUACAAUUCACAUCUAGAUCAAGCGGUAACCUAAAGAGUAUGAUAGCUGCUAUGGUUCAAGUAAUUUAACUGAUAACUGUGGAAUCACACUCCUAAUAUAAUAUGUUUGUUCAAGGAAUUGGUGAAUAUUUAUUUUUGCACAUUAUUGAGGAUAUAGAAAUCAUUGUUAAAAUUUUCCGAAUUUAUUGGAAAAAAAUUAAUUCCUUUCAGGCCUUGAAGAUGUUGCCCAGAGAAAACAUACAAGUAGCCACAAAGUUUGGGUUUGCAGAAUUGGGACUUGAUGCUGUGAUUGUGAAGGGUAACCCUGAGUAUGUGCGCUCAUGUUGUGAAGCUAGCUUGAAGCGCCUUGAUGUGGAAUACAUUGAUCUGUAUUAUCAACAUAGAGUGGACACAUCAGUCCCCAUAGAGGAAACUGUGAGUGAUUCUCUCUUCCUCAGGCUAACUAUCUGAAUUGAAGAGUUUUGACCCCAAUUAUGAUUUUUAGAUUCUGAUUGUAUCAGUAGUGGUGGGAUCCAUAUUGAUUGAAUGUGUUCAAAACUAUAUUUGUCAUUUCCUUGUCAAAAUAUAGAUUGGCGAAAUGAAAAAGCUGGUGGAAGAGGGUAAAAUCAAGUACAUAGGAUUAUCUGAGGCUAGCCCAGAUACAAUUAGGAGAGCACAUGCUGUUCAUCCUAUCACAGCUGUACAACUGGAAUGGUCUCUUUGGACUCGUGACAUUGAGAAUGAGAUAGUACCACUUUGCAGGUUCGUUCGACUCGCGAUGAAGAGUGUUUAAGGACCUAUUUAAUUGUUCCUAUCUAAAACUUUAAUUUUUGCAUCUAGUGUCUGAGUAUAUAGCAUUUCAUAAAAUUAGUAACUUGAAUAGGAUAGAUUAGAUUUUCAAAGGAAGUAUAUUCUAUUUAUUUGUUCCAAUCUACUAUUUUGUACCUAAUGUCUGUAGAUAUGGAAUUUUGUAAAAUUCAAUACUUGCAUAGAAUAGAUUAGAUUAGAUUUUAAGUGGAAGUAUAUGCUUGCAUGUACAAGACUGCCCUUCUGAUAGAUUGAAGUGUGCAGGGAGCUUGGCAUUGGAAUAGUUCCAUACAGUCCUCUUGGUCGUGGAUUUUUCGGUGGCAAAGCUGUUGUGGAAAGUGUGCCUCCAGAUAGCUUUUUGGUAUGUUUUUCAUCAAUGUUUGUCCGCAUCGUUUUGUUUCAUAACACAGUAUAACAUAGAUGUUUUUAAGAAACAACAUGAGCUUUCCAGUUUCAUUUGAGACUAAUGUUCCAUAUGUGGUGAAGCUUAUUAAAAUUCUGCAUGUAUCUGUUUUAUAAGAAUUUUCUUCCUCGGUUCACCGGAGAGAACCUGGACAGAAACAGGAGUAUUUAUUUUCGCAUAGAGAACCUUGCCAAAAAGUACAAAUGCACUUCUGCGCAAUUAGCACUGGCAUGGGUUCUCGAACAGGGGGAUGAUGUCGUACCUAUUCCUGGUAAGUUUCUAUCCUUGAGUUCAUGAUUCACGUGUUGACUUGAAGAAAUAUAUAGAGUUCAAAUUCGAGCUGAUCAAAAUAAUGUUGCCUAAUGUUUACUGGUAAUUUGCUUCGAGCAUCAGGGACAACUAAGAUUAAUAACCUAGAAGACAAUAUUGGCUCCUUGACAGUAAAACUUACAAACGAGGAUCUGAAAGAAAUUUCUGAUGCCGUACCCACAGAAGAGGUUGCAGGAGGAAGAUAUCCAGAUUCCUUUGACAAAACAUCGUGGAAUUUUGCAAACACACCUCCAAAAGACUCUUAAGGUUUGAACUUUAAGCUUAAAAUAUUUUCUGGAUGCUGCCUAUAUCAUCACUUGGGGUUGGGAGCUUGGGAUGUCUUAUUUUACGCAAAUAAACUCAGAUAAAUGUCAGAACAUGUUUACAAGAUACCGGUACAUUACUUCAUGCUAAACAAUUUCAUGAGUAAAACUUUGAUCAUUAUGAUGUACUAUAUAUUUGUAAACAUGGUGUGCCGGAUUUGUGAAGUGAGAAUAUGUGUGAGGCUUUUUAAGGUACAACCUGAAAUCAAGUUGCUAAAAUAUUUUUGCCGACUCUCUCUUUCUUUGAAAAUGAAGAUUACAAAUAUCCAAAUUUUGGAUGGAAACAAUUUGACUGCAUUUGCUUCAUCAUAGUACAGAUACAGGUCGAUUCGCAGGCAAAUUAUGGUGUUUGUAGAUGAAACACUUAUUGAAGCAAAAUUAUAUUCAAGUUACAGUGAGAAUGGAGAUUGGAAAAUAACUGCUGUUUGUUUAAGAAUACUCUCUUAUCAUUCAGGAGGAUACAAAUUAACUACCAUUUAAGUCUGACUGG
rnacentral:lncRNA from 1 species